UACGGAGGGUGCGAGCGUUAUCCGGAAUUACUGGGUUUAAAGGGUGCGUAGGCGGCUAUGUAAGUCGGGAGUGAAAGUUUGCGGCUCAACCGUAAAAUUGCUUUUGAUACUGCAUGGCUGGAAUUAGGAUGAGGUCAGCGGAAUGUGGCACGUAGCGGUGAAAUGCAUAGAUAUGCCAUAGAACACCAAUUGCGAAGGCAGCUGGCUAGGCCUGGAUUGACGCUGAGGCACGAAAGCGUGGGGAGCGAACAGG
rnacentral:rRNA from 1 species